UGAAAGUGUGAGCCGGGAAAGGAAAGACCGGUGCAAGCACAGGAGGAGGGAUACAGGCAAAUCCGUAUCCCAAUCCAAUGGUGUUACGCGGAGCGAACAAAAGUAGCGAAGCACACAGACCAUCUGUCGAGAAAAGCCGCUAUUGUGUAUACCGUACCCGUACCGUAAACCGACACAGGUGGAUGAGGAGAGAAUCCUAAGGCCGGCGGGAGAAGCAUUGUUAAGGAACUCGGCAAAAUGACCCCGUAACUUCGGGAGAAGGGGUGCUCACGCAAGUGAGCCGCAGAGAACUGGCCCAAGCAACUGUCUAGCAAAACACAGGUCUAUGCAAAACCGAAAGGUGAGGUAUAUGGGCUGACGCCUGCCCGGUGCUGGAAGGUUAAGAGGAGAUGUUAGAGCAAUCGAAGCAUUGAAUUUAAGCCCCAGUAAACGGCGGCCGUAACAAUAACGGUCCUAAGGUAGCGAAAUUCCUUGUCGGGUAAGUUCCGACCCGCACGAAAGGCGUAAUGAUUUGGGCACUGUCUCGACAAUGCACCCGGUGAAAUUGAAAUACCAGUGAAGAUGCUGGUUACCUGCGCCAGGACGGAAAGACCCCAUGGAGCUUUACUCUAGCUUGAUACUGGGAUUCGGUAUUGCAUGUACAGGAUAGGUGGGAGACUAAGAGGUGAUGACGCCAGUUGUCACGGAGUCGAUGUUGGGAUACCACCCCUGCAGUACUGGGUUUCUAACCUGCGGCCGUGACCCGGCCGGGGGACAAUGUCUGGUGGGGAGUUUGACUGGGGCGGUCGCCUCCGAAAGGGUAUCGGAGGCGCUCAAAGGUUCCCUCAGAAUGGUUGGAAACCAUUCGAAGAGUGCAAAGGCAGAAGGGAGCUCGACUGCGACACCGACGGGUGGAGCAGGUACGAAAGUAGGACUUAGUGAUCCGGUGGUAUGAAAGUGGGAUUGCCAUCGCUCAACGGAUAAAAGCUACCCUGGGGAUAACAGGCUUAUCACUCCCAAGAGUUCACAUCGACGGAGUGGUUUGGCACCUCGAUGUCGGCUCAUCGCAUCCUGGGGCUGUAGUAGGUCCCAAGGGUUGGGCUGUUCGCCCAUUAAAGCGGUACGCGAGCUGGAUUCAGAACGUCUGAGACAGUUCGGUCCCUAUCCGGCGUGGGCGCAGGAUAUCUGAGAGGAGCUGUCCUUAGUACGAGAGGACCGGGAUGGACUGACCUCUGGUGCAUCGGUAGAGCCACCAGGCUCAUGGCCGAGUAGCCAAGUCGGGACGGGAUAAACGCUGAAGGCAUCUAAGCGUGAAGCCCCCCUCAAGAUGAGAUAUCCCAUAGAGUUAAUCUAGUAAGACCCCUUGAAGACGACGAGGUAGAUAGGCAGAAGGUGGAAGUGUGGUGACAUAUGGAGCUGAUCUGUACUAAUAGGUCGAGGGCUUAACUAA
rnacentral:rRNA from 1 species